GUCCAUUGAGAGCGUUGACUGUAGGAUGCUAGAUUAUAUUUAGAUGUUUAUCACCCUCCAAUGCUGUUGUUACGACAUUUGCAUCAGUAUCUCUGUAACUUUGAACUGGUCAACAACAUUAUUGGCUAGCCACUGACGUGAGCUAACGGCAAUGCAUCUGUCGCGUACCCUCCAAUAUGCUGUGAGAUUCUCAUACGCACAGAAUGGACUAAGGACGCCGCAAGACAGACUUGUAAUGCAGACAGCUUUCGUGUUGGCAGGCCUGGGCAUCACCUUGUCAUCGUUCAGCGUCAAGCAGCUCAUGUCCACCAGAAGACAAAACUAAAUCAUAAGUCUUCUAUCCCUCCGAUCCAAUGCCUGAUCUUCCUUUAAUUUCUCUACCAAGUAUUAAUAUAUAAUUUUUGUAUCUUUCCCACUUUUUAGUUAAAUCAAUUAGCUUUGAGGUAAAAGCCUUGAUCUUGAAGUUUUGUAGGUUAAAAUCAUAAAGAAAUUUAUAUUUUGUAUAGAUCAUCAAUACUUUGAAAUGCACAAUGUUUGUGUUCUGGACUGUUGUUACAAAUAUGUCAUUGUAAUGUACAGUUUGAUGUUUCAAUCAGUAAUCCAUUAGGUGUAAACAUUCACCUGUUUAAGUAUUUUGAGUGUAAAGACAUAUUUAUUUAUGUUCGCCUGAGUGCAAUAAGGAUAAUACUACUAGUUUACUAGUUUUGUAACACUUCCUCAAAUGGUUAUUGUGUACCAUAAGUUUCAAUGUGGCCUCUGGCAAAGUAGGAUUAUUGAUUGAAGAUUUUAUGUUUAUUAGUAAUGUUCCAUUAUUAAAUAGUAUUUAUGUAUGAACUAUUAGUACUAUUAAUAAAAGCAAGAGAUACUCAA